rnacentral:rRNA from 1 species
UACGGGGGGAGCAAGCGUUGUUCGGAAUUACUGGGCGUAAAGGGCUCGUAGGCGGCCAACUAAGUCAUACGUGAAAUCCCUCGGCUUAACCGGGGAACUGCGUCUGAUACUGGAUGGCUUGAAUCCGGGAGAGGGAUGCAGAAUUCCAGGUGUAGCGGUGAAAUGCGUAGAUAUCUGGAGGAAUACCGGUGGCGAAGGCGGCAUCCUGGACCGGCAUUGACGCUGAGGAGCGAAAGCCAGGGGAGCAAACGGG